UACGGAAGGCAGCGGUGGGGAAUAUUGCACAAUGGGCGAAAGCCUGAUGCAGCUAUGCCGCGUGUAUGAAGAAGGCCUUAGGGUUGUAAAGUACUUUCAUCGGGGAGGAAAAACAAAACUAAUAAUUUUAUUUCUUGACGUUACCCGAAAAAGAAGCACCGGCUAACUCCGUGCCAGCAGCCGCGGUAAUACGGAGGGUGCUAGCGUUAAUCAGAAUUACUGGGCGUAAAGAGCACGUAGGUGGUUUUUUUAAGUCAGAUGUGAAAUCCCUGGGCUUAACCUAGGAACUGCAUUUUGAAACUGAAAUACUAGAGUAUCGUAGAGGGAGGUAGAAUUCUAGGUGUAGCGGUGAAAUGCGUAGAUAUCUGGAGGAAUACCUGUGGCGAAAGCGGCCUCCUAAACGAAUACUGACACUGAGGUGCGAAAGCGUGGGGAGCAAACAGGGAUUAGAUACC
rnacentral:rRNA from 1 species